AUGACUUUGAUCUCCGUCCUCAUCUGGACUCUCCUCUGCUGCUGCUUCACAGAGUCCAGAGGCCAGAUCACAGUGACUCAGCCUGCAGCAGUGACAUCUGCUCUGGGAGGCUCCGCAACCAUCAGCUGUAAGAUCAGUCAGACUGUUAUUAAUUCUGACUCUGUGGAGUGGUAUCAACAGAGAGAUGGAGAAACUAUUAAACUUCUCAUUUACUAUGCUAAUCGGCGACCAUCAGGGAUUCCAGAUCGUUUUACAGGCAGUGGAAGAAACUCUGACUUCACUCUGACCAUCAGAGGAGUUCAGGCUGAAGAUGCAGCAGUUUAUUACUGCAUAGGUCGCCACAAUAUCAACAGUCAGCGCGUGUUCACACAGUGA